AUUGAACGCUGGCGGCAGGCCUAACACAUGCAAGUCGAGCGGAGCGGCGGACGGGUGAGUAAUGCCUAGGAAUCUGCCUGGUAGUGGGGGAUCACGUCCGGAAACGGGCGCUAAUACCGCAUACUAGCAGCUGAGCCUAGGUCGGAUUAGCUAGUUGGUGGGGUAAAGGCCUACCAAGACGAAGAUCCGUAACUGGUCUGAGAGGAUGAUCAGGCACACUGGAACUGUGACACGGUCCAGACUCCUGCGGGAGGCAGCAGUGGGGAAUAUUGGACAAUGGGCGAAAGCCUGAUCCAACAAUGCCGCGUGUGUGAAGAAGGUCUUCGGAUUGUAAAGCACUUUAAGUUGGGAGGCGUUACCAACAGAAUCAGCACCGGCUAACUUCGUGCCAGCAGCCGCGGUAAUAC
rnacentral:rRNA from 1 species